UGUCUUGUGCUGUCACACAGUGUCCAUCAUCUUAUUGAGCAGUGUUAAGGAGGAAGAAAGCACAAAACUCUCCAUCUGCCACUGAAAGGAUGAUUCAUGAGCACAGAGUAACCACCAAGGUCACCCAACCUGACUGACCAAUUGCUCCAAUGAUGACCUGAGAGAAAGUGACCUUGUGUUAAAAGCUUUUAAUUACAGCAAACAAAACCACUUCUAUUCUUUUCAGCUCCCAAAUACAGUCAUUCCUUUAGGAAGAUGUGAAAAGCUCCAUGCUGCCUUAAUAUGAGUUUCUGGGUGAAAGUGGCAUCCAUGAUUGAACUGUUCGUGCCUGCUGUUCCCAGCUGAAUCCAGGAGUCUGUGUUGUCAGGGUCCACACAAACACAAUGCCAUCUACUCCUCUUCCACAUCACUGUUGAAAUGAACAUCACAAGCAGGAACUGAGGCAAGAAACAGCAAGG
rnacentral:lncRNA from 1 species